AAUUAUUUGGUUUAUUUUAGGUGACAAAAGAAAUGUUAGGCAAACUAAAUGAUGGUUGUCGAGUUGAUUAUGUGCUACAAGAGGCGCCAUUCGAAAUGAUAAAUGAAUAUUUAUUCGCUAUGAGCAGCCAUGUUGGUUAUUGGGAGUCAGAGGACACGAUGCUGCUGAUGCUGCGCGAGGUGUAUUCAUGUCGUGGUGUGCGACCUGAUGGCUGUCUGCCUCAGAAUACUAUGAAGAUGGAGAGGACACGCUUUG